GACGAACGCUGGCGGCGUGCUUAACACAUGCAAGUCGUACGGUAAGGCCCUUUCGGGGGUCCACGAGUGGCGCACGGGUGAGUAACACGUGAGUAACCUGCCCACAACUUUGGGAUAACGCUAGGAAACUGGUGCUAAUACUGGAUAUGUGCUCCUGCUGCAUGGUGGGGGUUGGAAAGCUCCGGCGGUUGUGGAUGGACUCGCGGCCUAUCAGCUUGUUGGUGGGGUAGUGGCCUACCAAGGCGGCGACGGGUAGCCGGCCUGAGAGGGUGACCGGCCACAUUGGGACUGAGAUACGGCCCAGACUCCUACGGGGGGCAGCAGUGGGGAAUAUUGCCCAAUGGGCGCAAGCCUGAUGCAGCAACGCCGCGUGCGGGAUGACGGCCUUCGGGUUGUAAACCGCUUUCAGCAGGGACGAAGCUUUUUGUGACGGUACCUGCAGAAGAAGCACCGGCUAACUACGUG
rnacentral:rRNA from 1 species